CAAGAUAUAGCUUAAACAAAGCAUCUAGUUUACACCUAGAAGAUUUCAUAUACCAUGAACAUCUUGA
rnacentral:tRNA from 2 species